AAUGGAGGAAACUCUGAUGCAGCGAUGCCGCGUGAGUGAAGAAGGCCUUUGGGUUGUAAAGCUCUUUCGUCGGGGAAGAAAAUGACUGUACCCGAAUAAGAAGGUCCGGCUAACUUCGUGCCAGCAGCCGCGGUAAUACGAAGGGACCUAGCGUAGUUCGGAAUUACUGGGCUUAAAGAGUUCGUAGGUGGUUGAAAAAGUUAGUGGUGAAAUCCCAGAGCUUAACUCUGGAACUGCCAUUAAAACUUUUCAGCUAGAGUGUGAUAGAGGAAAGCAGAAUUUCUAGUGUAGAGGUGAAAUUCGUAGAUAUUAGAAAGAAUACCAAUUGCGAAGGCAGCUUUCUGGAUCAUUACUGACACUGAGGAACGAAAGCAUGGGUAGCGAAGAGGAUU
rnacentral:rRNA from 1 species